AGCGAACGCUGGCGGCAGGCCUAACACAUGCAAGUCGAACGAACCCUUCGGGGUUAGCGGCGGACGGGUGAGUAACACGUGGGAACGUGCCUUUAGGUUCGGAAUAACUCAGGGAAACUUGUGCUAAUACCGAAUGUGCCCUUCGGGGGAAAGAUUUAUCGCCUUUAGAGCGGCCCGCGUCUGAUUAGCUAGUUGGUUGGGGUAAUGGCUCACCAAGGCGACGAUCAGUAGCUGGUCUGAGAGGAUGAUCAGCCACAUUGGGACUGAGACACGGCCCAAACUCCUACGGGAGGCAGCAGUGGGGAAUCUUGCGCAAUGGGCGAAAGCCUGACGCAGCCAUGCCGCGUGAAUGAUGAAGGUCUUAGGAUUGUAAAAUUCUUUCAGCGGGGACGAUAAUGACGGUACCCGGAGAAGAAGCCCCGGCUAACUUCGUG
rnacentral:rRNA from 1 species